UAGAGAGUUAAAGGUAUAGCCGGUCUCACCUAUAAGUGGGAUGAGAAAAAUGUUGUACACACCGCCCGUCGCUACUACCGAUUGAAUGGCUCAGUGAGGCCUUGGGACUGGCUCAGAGAGGUCGGCAACGACCACUCAGAGCCGGAAACUUGGUCAAACUUGGUCAUUUAGAGG
rnacentral:rRNA from 1 species